GGGCCCAGGUAGAAACCAUAGUUCAGUGGUAGAGCAUCUGCUUUGCGUGCAGAAGAUCCCAGGAUCAAUCCAUGGCAUCCCCA